CCUCGUACGGGAAAGUGCUUCGUCCGUCGUCGCGUCGCUAUUCUCGAAGCUCCUCGUACGCGUGUAAACUCACCGUCCCGUUUCUCUCUCUCUCUCUCUCUCUCUCUGUCUUUCUCUCUCUCUCUCACUCUCUCAUUCUUAUUUCAUCUAUUUUACCCUCGUUUCCUUUAACGUUUUUCCUUUGACGUUUCGCGUGUAUUUUCGAAGAAAUAAAAAUCGUCGCUCGCCGUUCCCGGCUGACUCUCGAUUGACCUUGUAGCAAGCGCGGGAGAAGACAAGCUCGCCUUUUAAAGCGAGUUGUUUCCUACGCGCGGCUGUCACGCGCGUCUCGCAUUCCUUCCUUCCUUCUUACCGGCGAACGACCGUUUUGCGUGUUGCGGUUGCGUUUUGUGCGCGAGCGAGCUCUUUGUGUUCCGUGAAUCCUCGUUUGCUCAGUGUCGUUUUGUUAAUUUUUGAGGAUUUUUUAACCGGCCUGACGCAUUGUCUUGCAACAGUGAACUCCGAUCGAACUCCGAAGGAAACUUCUGAGGAGUCCGUACUUUCUGAGAGGGUCUUUCGCUUCGUCGACUUGAAGUGGCGUACACCGGUUUCGCUUCGGACUAGAACAGAGAGAUGCGCCGUUAUCAACGCGACCCGCACAGGAAGACUGUCAACGUCGAA